rnacentral:rRNA from 1 species
AUUGAACGCUGGCGGCAUGCCUUACACAUGCAAGUCGAACGGUAACAGGUCUUCGGAUGCUGACGAGUGGCGAACGGGUGAGUAAUACAUCGGAACGUGCCCGAUCGUGGGGGAUAACGGAGCGAAAGCUUUGCUAAUACCGCAUACGAUCUACGGAUGAAAGCAGGGGACCGCAAGGCCUUGCGCGGACGGAGCGGCCGAUGGCAGAUUAGGUAGUUGGUGGGAUAAAAGCUUACCAAGCCGACGAUCUGUAGCUGGUCUGAGAGGACGACCAGCCACACUGGGACUGAGACAGGCCCAGACUCCUACGGGAGGCAGCAGUGGGGAAUUUUGGACAAUGGGCGAAAGCCUGAUCCAGCAAUGCCGCGUGCAGGAUGAAGGCCUUCGGGUUGUAAACUGCUUUUGUACGGAACGAAAAGCCUCUUUCUAAUAAAGAGAGGUCAUGACGGUACCGUAAGAAUAAGCACCGGCUAACUACGUGCCAGCCGCCGCCGUAAGAC